rnacentral:rRNA from 1 species
GUGAGGAAUUUUCCGCAAUGGGCGAAAGCCUGACGGAGCAAUGCCGCGUGAAGGAUGAAGGCCUAUGGGUUGUAAACUUCUUUUCUUAGAGAAGAAUAUUGACGGUAUCUGAGGAAUAAGCAUCGGCUAACUCUGUGCCAGCAGCCGCGGUAAGACAGAGGAUGCAAGCGUUAUCCGGAAUGAUUGGGCGUAAAGCGUCUGUAGGUGGCUUCAAAAGUCUCCUGUCAAAGAUCAGGGCUUAACCCUGGGGCGGCAGGAGAAACUCUGAGGCUAGAGUUUGGUAGGGGCAGAGGGAAUUCCCGGUGGAGCGGUGAAAUGCGUAGAGAUCGGGAGGAACACCAAAGGCGAAAGCACUCUGCUGGGCCACAACUGACACUGAGAGAAGAAAGCGAGGGGAGCAAAAGGGAUUAGAAACCCGUGUAGUCC